GGAAAAUCUUCAAGAGGAAGGCGGUGUAUUGUGAAGCAGGAAACAAGGACUCUGGUAUCAGAAAGACUUGGGUCCCAGCUCUGCCAUCUCCUGGCUGUGUCAUCACAGAUGAGAAAGUAACCUGAGGAUGAGGUAACAGGGAUUCCAUGUUAUCUUUUGGAGAACAGAGAAGCAUGUGGUUUCCUCUCAGAAAGCACGUCUUGACUGCUGGUGGUGGCUCUUCUCUCUUCUACGUGCUUCUAGCUACACAUGAAGUCGCGGGGGACACAACAGUUUGGGCCCUGGGUGCCAGACUCGAUUGAACUCACUUGGAGUCAACACAAUCUGCUUGUCUAGACCUUCAACCCCUUCCUGGAUCAGGGAGAAUGGGAUUCCCCCUCCUUCGCUCUCAGGGCAAUAGCAGGGAGCAUCUGAGGAAAUCGUCACUGCGAGUACCCAUCUUCCAGGAAAACAGCCUACCCCUCCCACUAUGAGUUACUGUAACCUCCCCCUUCUCCAGACUCAUUCGUUUCCCUUUUUUUUUUUUUUUUAAUUUGUGUGCCUAUCCCCUUACUUGGGAAUUCAUACUCCAUCAUCAACUUUCCUGCUCUGGGUGUAUAUAUGUACGUGAACUGGAUUUACUUUAGGUGUAGCUGACUAGUCUGUGACCCUCCUACCACAGCCAGUGUGCUGUACCUUAGAGCAAGAGCUGGAGAAAAGCUAAUGUCCUGCAGAGGAGAAAAGGAAAUCUGAGGACUUUGAUUUCGAGCCCUAAGGACUGAUCCUUGGAAAACACAGUUCACCAUCUCUUUGAGUUGUGGAGGUAUUAAGUCAAAGCAGUUGCAAAUUCCAUUUGUUCAAGUCCUGUGAUAAAAAAGCUUUGUUUAUAAUAUCUGAAAAUUAGUAAACUUAGAAUAUGCAAGUGAAGAAUUUUGUCAUGUCAAAGCUUCUAGCAUUUCUUUGUGCUA